rnacentral:rRNA from 1 species
GACGGAGGGGGCUAGCGUUGUUCGGAUUUACUGGGCGUAAAGGGCGCGUAGGCUGCCUAGCAAGUUGGGAGUGAAAUCCCGAGGCUCAACCUCGGAACUGCUUUCAAAACUGUUAGGCUAGAGUAUGGUAGGGGAUAACGGAAUUCCUAGUGUAGAGGUGAAAUUCUUAGAUAUUAGGAGGAACGCCGGAGGCGAAGGCGGUUAUCUGGGCCAUUACUGACGCUAAGGCGCGAAAGCGUGGGGAGCAAACAGG